ensembl:snoRNA
GCACAGUGAUGGAUUGAUGGCGAGCCUUUCUCUGUGGGCCUCUCAUAGUGUACCCAUGCCAGAGGAGCGUGCAGCCCUGAGCCACUGCCCAGCCUCCUCACUGGUGGGCUGCGAGCACUGAAGGGGGCUCAGGGUU